GACGAACGCUGGCGGCGUGCUUAACACAUGCAAGUCGAACGGAAAGGCCCUGCUUUUGUGGGGUGCUCGAGUGGCGAACGGGUGAGUAACACGUGAGUAACCUGCCCUUGACUUUGGGAUAACUUCAGGAAACUGGGGCUAAUACCGGAUAGGAGCUCCUGCUGCAUGGUGGGGGUUGGAAAGUUUCGGCGGUUGGGGAUGGACUCGCGGCUUAUCAGCUUGUUGGUGGGGUAGUGGCUUACCAAGGCUUUGACGGGUAGCCGGCCUGAGAGGGUGACCGGCCACAUUGGGUCUGAGUUACGGCCCGGACUCCUACGGGAGGCAGCAGUGGGGAAUAUUGCUCAAUGGGCGGAAGCCUGAUGCAGCAACGCCGCGUGCGGGAUGACGGCCUUCGGGUUGUAAACCGCUUUCGCCUGUGACGAAGCGUGAGUGACGGUAAUGGGUAAAGAAGCACCGGCUAACUACGU
rnacentral:rRNA from 1 species